ACGAACGCUGGCGGCGUGCUUAACACAUGCAAGUCGCACGGAAAGGCCCUGCUUUUGUGGGGUGCUCGAGUGGCGAACGGGUGAGUAACACGUGAGUAACCUGCCCUUGACUUUGGGAUAACUUCAGGAAACUGGGGCUAAUACCGGAUAGGAGCUCCUGCUGCAUGGUGGGGGUUGGAAAGUUUCGGCGGUUGGGGAUGGACUCGCGGCUUAUCAGCUUGUUGGUGGGGUAGUGGCUUACCAAGGCUUUGACGGGUAGCCGGCCUGAGAGGGUGACCGGCCACAUUGGGACUGAGAUACGGCCCAGACUCCUACGGGAGGCAGCAGUGGGGAAUAUUGCACAAUGGGCGGAAGCCUGAUGCAGCAACGCCGCGUGCGGGAUGACAGCCUUCGGGUUGUAAACCGCUUUCGCCUGUGACGAAGCGUGAGUGACGGUAAUGGGUAAAGAAGCACCGGCUAACUACGUG
rnacentral:rRNA from 1 species